GACGGAGGAUGCAAGCGUUAUCCGGAAUGAUUGGGCGUAAAGCGUCCGCAGGUGGCAGUUCAAGUCUGCUGUCAAAGACCGGGGCUUAACUUCGGAAAGGCAGUGGAAACUGAACAGCUAGAGUAUGGUAGGGGCAGAGGGAAUUCCUGGUGUAGCGGUGAAAUGCGUAGAGAUCAGGAAGAACAUCGGUGGCGAAGGCGCUCUGCUGGACCAUAACUGACGUUCAGGUACGAAAGCGUGGGGAGCAAACAGG
rnacentral:rRNA from 1 species